GGAAGGAGGGAAUUAGCCUCUGAGCUGGGUGAACCCUAGUCAGUCGCAUAAGAUUUUAGUUGGAACUUGCGGGCUCCUGGCCUACUAGUGGGAAAAGCAUAUUUUUAGAGUGCUUCCGCCCCGCCCACGGCUGUGGGCUGGGACUACAAGUCCCGGCCCGCGGGAAUCCAGGAGUGGGGGCGGGAGAGGGCGGCGGUGGGAUGGAGAGGCAUGCUGGGAACUGUAGUGUCACCUCCGCGUUCACAGCCGGUUGGGAACAAAGGAGAGCAUAAUGGAGCGGACCUGAAUUUUGAGUUGAAACAGACCGGUCUUCUGGCUGCGUGACCUUGAGCAACUUUCUUCGUUUCUCAGAACUUCUUCCUUCAUUUGUGAAGUGGAGUAAUACAUUUCUUACAGGGCUGUUGUGAGAAUGCAGAAACAUGUAAAACAUUGCAGGUGUCCAAAUGUCAGUUCCCUUCCCUUAUUGACGAGGAGUAGCCGCCAUUUUAUGAAAGGACUUAUCAGUGUGACUUCGAUUCCGAAGCAAAUGGUGGUUUUAUGAUUCGGAAAAAAGAUGUACAGAAGGUUGAAACAAGACCAUCAGGAUCUUUUUUAUUCAAGAGGAUGAAACGGUUUUCACGUAAACCUUAAAGACUCAAAAAUAAGAAUGACUCUUAGGUGCUUUAAUCUGAAUUUUGCACCAAUGAAGGAGAUCGAACGUUU